AAGUCGUAACAAGGUUUCCGUAGGUGAACCUGCGGAAGGAUCAUUUCCAAACAAACAUUCUUACAAACCAACCUUGUGAAAUGUUUUGGGUUCUUUUACUCUUGGGAGUAGGAGUGUGUGCGUGCGUGGUACAUGUAGUUGGUCUUUCGGAUCAUCUACAUACACAUACACCACCACUCUUUUUUCCCAAGAGGCCAUGAUGAACUACCUUCGGGUUGAUAGUUAUCGUUCUUUUUUGUGAUCAAAAACAAAAAAUAAAUGAUACGACAACUUUUAACGGUGGAUCUCUUGGCUCGU
rnacentral:misc_RNA from 1 species